rnacentral:rRNA from 1 species
UACGAAGGGUGCUAGCGUUGUUCGGAAUCACUGGGCGUAAAGCGCGCGUAGGCGGCCAAUCAAGUCAGGGGUGAAAUCCUUGGGCUCAACCCAAGAAUUGCCUUUGAAACUGGUUGGCUUGAGUACUGGAGGGGAUAGCGGAAUUCCUAAUGUAGCGGUGAAAUGCGUAGAUAUUAGGAGGAACACCGGUGGCGAAGGCGGCUAUCUGGACAGUAACUGACGCUGAGGCGCGAAAGCGUGGGGAUCAAACAGG